CAACAGUUAACUGAGAGCCCGCGUGGUACGCUUGGAACCCAUCUCGCCCAACUGAACGGGCAGCGUAGUCUUCUUCCAGCACCUCCCCCAGCCAACGCACACAGCGCGGCGCCGGCUCCUGUCGGGCACCCAUCCCUGCGUGCUGCAGCUGUGCGCCACCGCUGUGUGCUGUGUGUGCCCAGCUGCUGGGGGCACGCGGCAGCCCUUCC
rnacentral:lncRNA from 1 species